rnacentral:tRNA from 1 species
GCGCGUGUAGCUCAGUGGUUAGAGCGCCGCCCUUAUAAGACGGAUGCCGAUGGUUCGAUUCCAUCCACGCGCA